GGAGAGGUAGCGUAGUCUGGCCUAACGCGCACGCCUGGAGAGCGUGUGAGCCGUAACCCGGCUCCGUGGGUUCGAAUCCCACCCUCUCCGCCA
rnacentral:tRNA from 1 species